rnacentral:lncRNA from 1 species
CUGCGGAGGGUGCGCGGGUUCCCCAGCAGUGCUGGCCCACCGGUGCUGCGCUCGAUUUCUCGCCUGGCCUUAGCUGCCUCCCCGCGGGGCGGGGCUCGGGACCUACAGCGGGCCAUGCCUGAGUCUCCUCCCCACCCCGCCGUGGGCUCCUGCGCGGCCUGAGCCUCCCCGACGAGCACCACCCCCUGCUCCAGGGCGCCUGGUCCCAUCAACCGCCCAAGGGCUGAGGGGUGCCGGCACACGGUGGGGGACUGGCAGGCAGCUCCACCUGCGGCCGUGGUGCGGGAUCCACUGGAUGAAGCCAGCUGGGCUCCGGAGUCUAGUGGGCAUUUGGAGAACCUUUAUGUCUAGCUAAGGGAUCGUAAAUACACCAAUCAGCACUCUGUAUCUAGCUCAAGGUUCCUAAACACACCAAUCAGCACCCUGUGUCUAGCUCAGGGUUUGUAAAUACACCAAUCAACACUCUUAUCUAGCUAAUCUAGUGGGGAGGUGGAGCACUUUUGUGUCUAGCUCAGGGAUUGUAAAUGCACCAAUCAGCAUCCUGUCAAAACGGACCAAUCAGCUCUCAGUGAAACAGACCAAUUGGCUCUCUGUAAAAUGGACCAAUCAGCAGGAUGUGGGUGGGGCCAGAUAAGAAUAAAAGCAGGCUGCCUGAGGUUGCGGUGGUAACAUGUUUCGGCGUCCUUCCACACUGUCGCGGCUUAUGUUGUUUUGCUGUUUGGGUUUGCACUGUCUUUUUGAGCUGUAACACAGCAAAGGUUUGCAGUUUCGCUCCUGAAAUCAUCGAGACCACAAACCCACCGGGAAGAACGAACAACUCCAGACGCACCGCUUUAAGAGCUGUAAUACUCGUUAGGAAGGUGUGCAGCUUGACUCCUGAGUCAGCGAGACCAUGAACCCAUCAGAAGGAAAAAACUCCGAACAUCAGAAGGAACAAGUUUCAGACACGCCACCUUUAAGAACUGUGAUACUCACCGCGAGGGCCCGCGGCUUCAUUCUUGAAGUCCGUGAGACCAAGAACCUACCAAUUCCGAAUACGUUGGGUUCAAGUGGUUCUCCUGCCUCAGACUCCCGAAUACCUGGGACUACAGGCACCCACCACGCCCGGGUAAUUGUAUGACAAUGGAGAGGUGAUUACUGCGCUGAAAAUCAGUUUCCUGAAGUGAAAAAGGGAAUCAAGUUACGUCACAGAGCCUGGUGUGAGCGGCGCUCUGUCAACACCAGCUCUUCAUGGGUUGUGGUUUCCUCCAGUUCCUGGAUGUGUGGAGUUCAUCCUCCACUGACUGGCGCCCCGGUUGACAAUGAGGUCUGGAAAUUGGCAACUGAUGAAGGGAAGUGUAUCAGUCCGUUUUCAUGCUGCUGAUAAAGACACACCCGAGACUGGGAAGAAAAAGAGGUUUAAUGGACUUACACUUCGACAUGGCUGGGGAGGCCUCACAAUCGUGGUAGAAGGCAAGGAGGAGCAAGUCACAUCUUACGUGGAUGGUGGUGGGCAAAAGAGAGAGAGCUUGUGCAGGGGAACUCCUCUUUUUAAAAGUAUCAGAUCUCGUGAGAUUUAUUCACUAUUAUGACAACAGCAGAAGACAGACCUGCCCCCAUGAUUCAAUUACCUCCCACUGAGUGCCUCCCUCAACAUGUGGGAAUUACGAGUUAUACUUCAAGAUGAUUUGGGUGGGGACACACAGCCAAACCAUAUUAGGGAGCAGGAAAAAGAAACAAAAACAGCAACUAAUAACUCCCAAGACCACAGCUUCGCUCCUGUCUAGAGCUUUGCUACUUAGCCACAGGAACACGGGUGAUCAUACCUCAACAGAAGUCUGCCAGCAUUCAUUACGACCAGUGCUUAAUCUCAUCUGACAAUAUCAAUGUCAAAAUCAGAGCUUGGAGCUGGCGGUGUUUCAGCAGAGGAGUCUUUGGAGCUUCCACGAACUGGUUCAAUAAACAAUCUUGCUGUGAAACACAGAGCUUGGUAUUUAGAAGGGUUUUAGCUGGCAUAUCCACAAAGCUGCAGCAUCCUGUCCACUGCUAAUUCCACUGUGAAAUGUUGAAAUACAGCUCUUAGCUCCGAGAAAGCAUGUAGGCUUCUAUUUGCAUGCAAAUCAUUGCCAUUCAUGUGUGAACUACAGCAGGUAACAGCUCUGCCAGAUGGAAUAAUUUGGGGUAAGGCCAUCCUCUUUGUUAAAGGCCACAGGUAUCCAUGCAUGCUGCAGUGUAGCUCAUUCCUACUUUCCACGUCACCCCCUGGGGAAUAAUCAUUUUAAUGAUGGGCCUCAAGGAAAGGAAACGCCAUUCUACCCUGUCAUCAUUUAGUAAACAAAAUGGUGCCAAUUAGUGUAAUGCUGACCUAAUGUAAUAUUUGAUGCAAUUAGUAAAUUGAGAGGGAUAAAAAGGAACAUGGUAAAUUGAUAGAUCAAGAAAACUCCCUUGGAUUUUGAAAAAGUACAGAUUGCAUGCAUGUUUCAAGGAAAACCACUGUGGUCUCACCCCAGGUGGCAGUGCCUUGUAGUGGUUAGGAGUGUGUGUCUCUAGAAUCGGAAUGCUUGUGUCUCAAUCGCAGCUCUACCUCUUACUAACCAGAAGACUUUGAAUAAAACUCACACUUCCUAAGUGUCAACUUCAUCAUCUGUAAAGUGAAGAUAGUAGUAGACAAUUGAACUUAAUCCUCUCCUGGUCAUAUGAGGUAGGUCUGAUUUAAGUAGUUGAGCAGCCUGCCUGAUACAUGUAAAGCUUAACAAUAACUAUAAAUAAUCAUAAUUACAAUGAAUAAAAUAGCCAUAGAAGCUAGUUGCAUUAAAUUUAUUUGUAAUAAAUGUAGUAGCUAAUGCUGUACUUGAUCAAUUCACAGAGCUGAUUUCUCCAAUAAAUAGGAAGCUCCUAAGUAUAGAGACCAUGUCUUCUCUUCUUGUCAUCAGUGGUUUGCUCACCAUCUAACACUUAGGAUGUAUUCAACAAAUGGUUAUUAAAUGCACAGGUUUUAAAAUUAGUAGCAUUUUUUGUGUUAUUUAUUCCUUUACCUCCUCCUUCUUCAUAUCUCUUUCUCCUCUGUCAUCAUCAUCAUCAUCAUCAUUUUUUAUCCUCUCUAUUUCCAAAGACAUGGGGAUAAGAUUUGUCCCAGCAGGAUUCAUGCUGGUUACAUGGAAAGCAACACUGUUGAUAUUCAAAUGUCCCCUAAGGCUACCUACCUCCUUAUGAAUCUUUGGUAUCUUUCGUUUGAAUCUCCAGGCAUACUCUUUAUCUUUUCCCAAGCCUGCUCUAUGCAUUAAUUUUAUGGACUCCAUUAAUUAGUUUGCUUAUCUUUUAGUUUCCUGUUGGAUUAAGCCAGUGAGAACCCAGAAGGGUAAGGAGAGAGUUAGGGCAGGUUUCUGUCUUCUGGGUCUAACUGUUUGCCUUUGUUUUUCUCUCUGUGGCUACAGCUUCCACUAGGCAACUUUCUCUUAUAGCUUUAGUGUUCCUCUUUGGAUUCUGGUAUGUACUUCUUUUCCUUGCCAUUCCCUUAUUGGUUUUCCAUCACCCUGCCCACUCUUUAGUAAAUGUCCCUUUCAUUAGUUUCUCCCCUAGGUUGCUCACCUUGAGUAUGUCAUCUGUUACCCAUCAGGACCUUGACUGAUACAGGGUUCUAGAGCAUAUAAACUUCAAUGGUCUGCCACCAAGUCUGUGUGAUAUCUAGUUCCCACUUGCCACGUGGCAGGACCUUAGCAGCAGAAAGGGACAUUUUCUUGCCUUUACAGUGAUCACUAAGUGACGAGAAGAAGAGCAGGUGUCUCCUACAUAAUUGCUGCAGAACCGUUGUUUCUCAGGUCCAGCUGUUUUUGUCUCUUUUAUGCUAUCUGUCUCCAAAUCUCUGAUAUGUUGCUAAUAUACUGCUUAGGCCACCUAUGAGAUAUCCAUGAGGUCCAUUAUGGUGGAUAAUUAGAUUUUAGGGUCAGAAAUCCUGAAAUCAAAGCCUUUCCCAAAUUGCCUAUCAGUCAGAACUCAAAAGGAUUCUAGGACUCAUUUAAAAAUUCAACUUUUUUUUUUUUGCCAUAGAGACAGGGAGGAGUUGCUCAACUAACAUGUUGGCAACUACAGACAGCUCUUUUGUCAUCUGUUGGAUAAGGGAGACACUUAAUCAAACACCUAAAACAAAACAUGCUUGUUAUUUACAAAGAGAUAUGUAAAAGCAAAUAUCAAAUGUUUGCACAAACUUUUUAUAAAAGGACCACAACUUGAGAACCCCAGAAUAAUGUCCAGAGAUGCCUGUGACUUCCAUUUGAAACCAUACUCACUUGGCCGGGCGUGGUGGCUCACGCCUGUAAUCCCAGCACUUUGGGAGGC